GAAAUGCUCUACCUCUCUGCUCUCUUAGAAAUAAUCAAGCUCGGCUCUUACAUAAAGCACAACAAUUGGAAAGGAGCAGAUCACACACAGAUCAUUUGUCUCUAUAUGUGAGAAAGAAUAAGGAGACAUGUGAUGCAAAUAUCUUACAGAGGGCAUGAACUCAACAUGCUUCACAGGCUGCUCAGGUAAACCUUUCUCCAAGCACAUGAUGCUGGGAGCACUGCUGCAUGUCCAGCUCCACGGAGGGGCCUUCCCUGGACUUGCCAGUAUUCCACGUGUUGCUGGUACAGUAAGAACUGCUGCUGGGACUUGAGUGUUGAGAAAAACUUGGUUCAGAAAAGCAUCUGUGAAGAUGACUACUGUAGGAAUUAUUUGCUAGGUGAUACAGUUAAACUACAGGAAAAUUAGACUAAGACAGGGAGAGUGG
rnacentral:lncRNA from 1 species